AUUGAACGCUGGCGGCAGGCUUAACACAUGCAAGUCGAACGAAGUCUUCGGACUUAGUGGCGGACGGGUGAGUAACACGUGGGAACGUACCUUUUGGUUCGGAACAACUCAGGGAAACUUGAGCUAAUACCGGAUGAGCCCUUCGGGGGAAAGAUUUAUCGCCAUUAGAGCGGCCCGCGUUAGAUUAGCUAGUUGGUGAGGUAAAGGCUCACCAAGGCUACGAUCUAUAGCUGGUCUGAGAGGAUGAUCAGCCACACUGGGACUGAGACACGGCCCAGACUCCUACGGGAGGCAGCAGUGGGGAAUCUUGCGCAAUGGGCGAAAGCCUGACGCAGCCAUGCCGCGUGAAUGAUGAAGGUCUUAGGAUUGUAAAAUUCUUUUACCAGGGACGAUAAUGACGGUACCUGGAGAAAAAGCCCCGGCUAACUUCGUGCCAGCAGCCGCCGUAAAAC
rnacentral:rRNA from 1 species